AUGACUUACCUACUGAGAGUCAGCGACCGAGCCAUGGAUGUCACAAGGGGGGCCAUGGGCAGCCUACUCCACAAGCUGGGCGAGCUUAACAAGGAGGACUUCAAUCUGGAGGCAAGCAUCAAAAAAGAUGUCCAGUCACUCUCGGAAGAGCUGGUGAUGAUGCAGCUCGUACUCCGCAAGGUGUCUGACGUGCAGCAGGGCAACCUCGAUGACCUGGUCAAGCAUUGGGCCAGUAAUGUCAGGGAGAUGUCAUAUGACCUAGAGGAUUUCGUUGACGGCUUCUUGGUGCAAAGCCAGCCUGAAUCUAAUAAAGAACAGCUCGUUGGCAUCAAUAGGCCAAGAGAUGAGCUAAUAAGGCUAUUUGAGGAGGAUGGCGAUGUAUCAAAGGAAAAUCUCAAGAUAGUCUCCAUUGUUGGAUUGGGAGGAUUGGGCAAGACCACACUUGCCAAGGCAGUAUAUGACAAGCUUAAAGCCCAAUACCAUCUUAAAACUUUUGUUUCGGUUGCAUGGGGUCGUAUUGCUUAUGCUUUUCCAAGAAACAGUUGUGGCAGUAGAGUGAUAACAACAACAAGGAUUGAACGUGUUGCUCGUGACUGUUGCAAAGUUGAAUGCAAAAAUGUUUAUAGGAUGAAACCACUCGGUGAAGUAGACUCAAGAACACUAUUUUUUAGAAGAACAUUUGGUUCUGAAAAAGAUUGCCCCGAUACACAUAGAAAAGAAGAGAUUUUAGUUGAUAUUCUAAAAAAAUGUGGUGGUAUGCCACUUGCUAUUAAUAGUAUUGCAAGCCUUCUAGCUGAUGAGCCAGGGUCAACCUGGGAGUAUGUAUGGAAAUCCUUGGGUGCUCUGACUGAAGGAGAUAAUCUUGAAAACAUGAAGCAAAUAUUGGAUCUUAGCUACAUACAUCUUCCUGAUCAUCUGAAGGCAUGUCUACUUUAUAUUUGUAUGUAUCCAGAGGAUCGCGAGAUAGACAAAACUGAAUUGUUGAGGAAAUGGGUAGCCGAAGGUUUCGUGCACGUGAGUACAAAUGGUCUUCUGGAUGCAGUGGAUGUUGCAGAAAAGUACUUCAAAGAGCUCAUCAGCAUGUGUAUGAUCCAGCCUUGGAGGAUAAGCUACAACAAUGAAGUGUUGUCUUGCAGAGUACAUGAUAUAAUUCUUGACAUGAUGAGAUCCAAGUCAAGUAAAGAGAAUUUUAUUCAUGUGAUUGAUGGUUCUAAGGUUGAGACGGGGGAGAUCUGCCGAGUCUCAGUCCACUACAAUGAUAAAAAGGAUACAACAAUUUUGGAAACAAUCAACAAAGGGUCACUAUCACAUGUUCGGUCAAUCUUACUUUGCCGGAGCUCACUUUUGCCUUAUUUUCUGGAUUUCAAGUAUGUCAGAGUGCUACACCUUGAACAUAAGUAUUCUUUGAACAACUACCUGGACCACACUGGUAUCAGUGGGCUGUUCCUUCUAAGGCCUUCACGUGACGUGCUCUUGGCUCAAUCCCGAUGCUAUAGUUGCUUUGCCUUGUCAAUUCCUCCUGCUAAAUCCGAUGGAUGCCAACACGAUGGAUUUUUCCAUCGCCAAAUUGAUCUGCCUACCUCCGUCCGCGUCGCACAUGUGGACUGCACUUCUGGUCUAAAACAAACCUCACGUAGCUACCCAAACGUGUCUUCAGAUCAACAGCAUGGGCCUCACGCGCCACGUCUGGCCCGCUGCUCCUUCUUGUCUCCAAUCCACGGUAGCAAGCCGCACAGGCAUAGCCAGCCUGCCCACAAGCCGCCGCCCCACGCGUCUUAUGCUGAGCCGCGUGUAUCGCUGCGGCUGUCCACAGCUGCUGCAACUCGCCGAGAUCAAUCUGUCACCGUUGUAACCACCCGCGCUGAUUCCGAUUAUUGCUGA
rnacentral:rRNA from 1 species